rnacentral:tRNA from 1 species
AGUAAAAUGGCUGAUUAAGGUGAUAAACUGUAAAUUUAUUUAUGAGAAAUAUUCUCUUUUACUA